rfam:Camelus ferus unplaced genomic scaffold scaffold25522, whole genome shotgun sequence.
GAGGAUAUGGCUCAAAUGGUAGAGUGUGUGCUUAGCGUGCACGAGGUCCAGGGUUCAAUCCCCAGUGCCUCCU